rnacentral:tRNA from 1 species
GGGGAGGUAGCAUAAAUGGAUAAUGCGCUAGAUUUGCACUCUGGAAGAUUGGGUUCGAGUCCCACCUGCUCCA